AAGAGGAAAAGGAAGUUUGCCUCCGGUCACGUGUUGACGUGACGCCCGCCGCCGCCGCCGACGUCACGUUCGCCCUCCGCCCUCGUCUGAAGAACAGCCGAAAGCCGAGAGCCGAGAGCCGGCGAGCGCUCCUUCUGUUUGGCCUUCCGACGGUCGCCCGGCCGAGCCGAGAGAGCCGCGAUGGUCUGCGGCGGCUUCACGUGUUCCAAGAACGCCCUGUGCUCCUUGAACGUCGUCUACAUGCUGGUGGGCCUGCUGCUGAUCGGCGUGGCGGCGUGGGGGAAGGGCUUCGGCCUGGUCUCCAGCAUCCACAUCAUCGGCGGCGUGAUCGCCGUGGGCGUCUUCCUCCUGCUCAUCGCCGUCGUGGGCCUGGUGGGAGCCGUGCGCCACCACCAAGUCAUGCUUUUCUUCUACAUGGUCAUUCUUUUCAUCGUCUUCCUCUUCCAAUUUGGAGUGUCCUGCUCCUGCCUGGCGAUGAACCGCAGCCAGCAGGAAGUGCUUUUGAACUCGGCGUGGGGAAUGUUGGAGAACAACACCAAGACGGACCUGGAGAGUCAGCUCAACUGUUGCGGGCUGCUCAACGUCGCCAGCAAGCGAAAGCAGUUUGAGGAGGAUCUGCAGAGCUGUCCCGCCUUAUGCAAGAAUACGAGUUCGUGCUACACCUGCGGGGAUAUGAUGCUGCACCACGCCAGCGAGGCUCUCAAGAUCCUCGGCGGCGUCGGGCUCUUCUUCAGCUUCACCGAAAUUUUGGGAGUUUGGCUGGCGGUGCGCUACAGGAACCAGAAGGACCCGCGAGCGAACCCGAGCGCUUUCCUCUAAGCGCGUCCCUGCGCUCGGGUGGCGCGGCGCGGGACCCGCGCCCUUUCCGGCACACGACGCCGCCGAACGGAUCCGCCCGGCCGACACCAGAACACGCCUCCUUCACCCGAGACCGAGAAGCCACCCGAGCUCGCGCCCGACCGCCCGGGCGCGACUCUUACGGGCGCUGAGGCCCCCUCGCCCGUAUCGCCACCCCAGCCUCGUCGCACCGACGAGCCGCCGCCGCCACCCGACCCGGCAAGUGAGAGACGUCUCGCACAACAGGCCACCGCGUGCGCCUCGAAGUGUUCUGCGUGACGAGACGGGGAGACGACGCGGCGUGCCCAGCAAAGGUAGCUUGGAUGUCAAUGAUGUCGCCGCCGGCUUGGAGGCGGCAACCUGUCAGAUGGCCGCCAUCUUUGCGGAAUCUUCUCAAAGGGCGCCGAACGGUGCCCG